GGGGAAGUCGCGCUGGGUGGGCUCCCUCCUCCUCCUCCUCCCGGUGCUCCCGCCCAAAGCCGGGACACCUGAAGGGGGGUGGCCGGCGGCGGGCCGUCAAGCGGCGCGGGCUCCGUCUGACCCCGCCGGAGCAGCCGCCUCGUCCCCCCGCCCUUACCUGCAGCCCCAGCGCCUGGGAGAGCUCUCGGGCCUUGGCCGCCCUCAGGCAGUUGCCGGCGUUGGUCAGGAAGACGACGGGCACCCGGAGCCGCCCGCUGCCGUCCGCCAGCCUCCGGAAGGCCUGGCGGGCGGCGGGCACCGCCUGGCUGCCCCGCACCAGCACCCCGUCCACGUCGAAGAGGAACCCGAAGGCCGGCGGCUGCAAGACUGCGUCCCAGGGGCUCCCUCUUUCCUGUGGAAUGGGACAGAAAUCUUGAUGCUGAAUUCAGCCGAGGCCCUUCUGGACCUGAGGAAAGCAAAAGGUUCGCUUCACAUCCAUGGAGAUGAAAUGACAUUUGUUUGCUUUCUGGCUAGGCUUAAGAUCUCCUGACUCCUGCGAUACGGCAGGUUUAACAUGUAUAACCUUAGGCAUCAAUUACACAAACAGUGUAAUUGUUUGUUUUUAUGCUUCCAUUGCCAUGAGCACCAAGCUUAAUUCGUUUUUGACCCACUUUAACACCCAGAGCACUUUCUGCAGAGCUAUUAAAGCACUGGCAACUCAGGGUUACACAUUCGUACAGGUGGUUAUUCUUCCUUAAGUGCCUUUGCCUUAACUGAAUUACCUACCGUUUAUUUUACAUAAUUUCCUCAACUUGCCAGGAUCGCUUUUCUCAGAGCUGUUUGCAGCUCCUCCUGCUCUGGCGAAAUUUAGGCUGGCCGCGGAGACAUUGCUGAAAGUAUUUAGUUCCCUGCAGAACUGGGCUUCAAACCUUCUUCCACUAGCACAAGAGAGCCAGUUACAGCUACUUUGAAGUAUGCCUUCCCAACUACUUACCCACUUACAAACCAGGACCUCCAACCCUCAUUUCCCUUGGCUGCCGAUGAAAAAUACAGUCAGAGAGAGAGGCAAAGACUUUCUAAAAUUAAUGACAAACAGAAGAACCUUGUCUCGAGCGUUUCUCAGCUAUCCACCAAGGCGGUUGCUCCUGGCAGAGAAAAUGUUUGACUGAUUUACUGUGAUUUUGCCUAGAGUAUUGGCUAACAUGGAUUUAUGGCCUUUUAAC
rnacentral:lncRNA from 1 species